ensembl:lncRNA
AUUUUGGAAGAAAAGCUGUUUAAUAAUUUGAACAAAAUGAAGGGACCAGGAAAUUUGGUCACAAUGCAGACACAGUCGAUGGAUAACAGACACAUUUUAAUAGCAUGUGUAGCACAGAAGUUUGAUGACACCUUAAUUGCCCUCAAAGCUCAUCACUAAGCUAAGGACCCUGGGACUAAACACCUCCCUCUGCAACUGGAUCCAGGACUUUCUGAUGGACCGCCCCCAGGUGGUCACUCAUGACUGCAUGGCCAGGCACGACUCCAACACCAUCAUGAUGUUUGCCGAUGACACAGCAGGCCUGAUCACCGAGAACAACGAGACAGCCUAUAGGGAGUAGGUCAGAGACCUGGCCAUGAGGUGCCAGGACAACAACCUCUCCCUCAACGUGAUCAAGACAAACAAGAUGCUUGUGGACUAUAGGAAAAGAAUUGCCAAGCACGCCCCCAUUCUCAUCGACAGGGCUAUAGUAGAGCAGGUUGAGAGCUUCAAGCUCCUUGGUGUCCAUAUCCCCAACAAAUUAACAUGAUCCAUGCAUACCAAGACAGUCGUGAAGAGGGCAUGACAAAACCUAUCCCCCCCCCCCGCUCAGGAGACUUGGCAUGGGAUCUCAGAUCCUCAAAAGGUUUUACAGCUGCACCAUUGAGAGCAUCCUGAUGGGUUGCAUCACUGCCUGGUAUGGCAGCUGCUCAGCCUCCGACCGCAACCCACUAUAGAGGGUAGUGCGUACAGCCCAGUACAUCACUGGGGCCAAGCUUCCUGCCAAUCAGGGCCUCUGUACCAGGCGGUGUCAGAUGAAGGCCCUAAAAAUUGUCAAAGACUCCAGCCACCCUAGUCAUAGACUGUAAUCUCUGCUACCGAACGGCAAGCAGUACCGGAGCGCCAAGUCUAGGUCCAAGAGGCUUCUAAACAGCUUCUAUCCCCAAGCCACAAGACUCCUGAACAUCUAAUCAAUUGGCUACCCAGACUAUUUGCAUUGCCCCGCCUCCUCUUUUACACUGCUGCUACUCUCUGUUAUUAUCUAUGCAUAGUCACUUGAAUAACUCUACCUACACUACCGUUCAAAAGUUUGGGGUCACUUAGAAAUAUUCUUAUUUUUGAAAGAAAAGCACAUUUUUUGUCCAUUGAAAUAUAAUCAAAUUGAUCAGAAUACAGUGUAGACAUUGUUAAUGUUGUAAAUGACUAUUGUAACUGAAAAUGGCAGAUUUUUUAUGGAAUAUCUACAUAUCUACAUACAGCUGCCAAUUAUCAGCAACCAUCACUCCUGUGUUCCAAUGGCAUGUUGUGUUAGCCUUUUAAAAUGAUAAACUUGGAUAUGCUAAUUGAUCAUUAGAAAAUCAUUUUGCAAUUAUGUUAGCACAGC